GACGAACGCUGGCGGCGUGCUUAACACAUGCAAGUCGAACGGAGUGGCGAACGGGUGAGUAACCCGUGGGUGACCUCCCCUGCACUCCGGGCUACGCCUGGGAAACUGGGUCUAAUACCGGUUAGUGUGGGACGGGCCCGCGGCCUAUCAGCGUGUUGGUGGGGUAAUUGUCUACCAAGGCGGCGACGGGUAGCCGGCCUUGGAGGGUGGACGGCCACAAUAGGCCUGCGACACGGCCCAGACGCCUACGGGAGGCAGCAGUGGGAAAUAUUGCACAAUGAGCGGAAGCCUGAUGCAGCGACGCUGCGUGGGGGAUGACGUCCUGCGGGUUGUAAACACCUUUCACCAUCGACGCGGUAGAUGAAGAAGAAGCACCGGCUAACUACGUGCCAGCAGCCGCGGUAAUAC
rnacentral:rRNA from 1 species